AGAAGAGACCAAGAAACCCUCACCACCACCACCAACAAGAUCGACGAAACCCCCCGUCACCCAGAUCGAAGAAGCCAAUCAAGAAAACAAACCCCAAGCACAGCGAGAGUAGAUACAUUUGGGAUUAUCCAUGUGUCGAGAUUUGCGAAAUGAAGGAAGAUCAAGCAAGCUGUCCAUGCAAGGCAGCAGAUGCAAGUAGGUAGCUUUGAGCAUGAUGACUCAGUCACAGCUAGAGACAGAUCAAGCAAGAUGCUACCACAAAGUACAUUACUGCGAUUGUUUUACUACACCCCCUCCUUUCCACUCCUUUCCAAAAUAAGUUUAUUUAUGGGUUUGUCUUCAAUACUUGACCAUCCGUUUUAUUUAAAAUUUUGUUAUGAUCAGUAUUUUUGUUGUUAUUAGAUGAUAAAAACAUGUAUAAUAUUUUGUGUGUGAGUUAUUUCUUUUAA